rnacentral:misc_RNA from 1 species
AAAGUCGUAACAAGGUCUCCGUUGGUGAACCAGCGGAGGGAUCAUUACCGAGUUUACAACUCCCAAACCCCUGUGAACAUACCUAUUGUCGCCUCGGCGGUGCCUGUUCCGACAGCCCGCCAGAGGACCCCAAACCCUGAUUACAUUAAAGAAUUCUUCUGAGUAACCGAUUAAAUAAAUCAAAACUUUCAACAACGGAUCUCUUGGUUCUG